CACCCCUACUAACGUGUUCGGAACAUAUUCUUUAUCGGUGUUAAGUAGAGCGUAAAAUCAAAGACUAUCGAAUGAAAUAUAAUCUCGCUGCUCCGAGACUCCAACGCGAGCUACCUGAGACCCGGUGAAUUUUCUACCGGAUAUGGAUGUGCUUUAAGGAAUUCCAGUGUUAAUAGAUUCAUUUUGAGGAAAUAGCUGGUGUGCAGUGCACAUUUCUAAAUGAAUUCAUCAGUUUACAUUAAGGAUCUACCUUCAAAUCCUGUAAUUUGGGAUGCUCUAAAGUGCAUGUCACAGACUAAAGUUAUAGAAAUAACUUCCAAGAAUUUUAAAGAAAUUGUUAUAACUUUGAAAUGUAUGUAUAUACAUGUAUACUGAUAUUGAAUUAAAUUUUAUAAAAUUUCAACAUCUGAUUUUAUGUAUAUAUAGACAUUUUGUAAAAAUUUUCCACUCUAAAGGUUUAAUUUCUUUAAUAUUCAAGACUUAAAAAAAAACUUUUGCAGAUACAGUGAUGUAACAUUUGUCUUCCUUUCUGAUCAAUACAUAUAUAUAAGAAAACUAUGUAUAUUUCAAUAAAGGUGGAAAAUUUUCAACCAUUGAAUUUCCAUUUAUGAGUAGUAACUUGUACAUAGUACUUCUUAACCAACUUUGAUACUGUAUAACUA